rnacentral:rRNA from 1 species
CACGUAGGGGGCAAGCGUUGUCCGGAUUUAUUGGGCGUAAAGAGCUCGUAGGCGGUUCGGUAAGUCGGGUGUGAAACCUCCAGGCUCAACCUGGAGACGCCACCCGAUACUGCUGUGACUAGAGUCCGGUAGGGGAGCGUGGAAUUCCUGGUGUAGCGGUGAAAUGCGCAGAUACCAGGAGGAACACCGGUGGCGAAGGCGGGACUCUGGGCCGAUACUGACGCUGAGGAGCGAAAGCGUGGGGAGCGAACAGG